CUGCUGCGGGGAAAUAAAGUGAAUAUGGGUAUCCAGGCCGCCGGCUGUCACGAUCAGACCUUCGCCUGCCAGUGCUUCUGUGGAAGCUCCCACCGUCAUGCCCGGCGUCACGCCGUCCAUCACCGACGGAUUUCCGGCUUUUCCGAUUCCGGCGAUUUUUCCGUCCUUGAUUCCGAUAUCCGCCUUAUAGAUUCCGGUAUAGUCCACGAUCAGAGCGUUCGUGAUCACCAGAUCCAGGUCGCCGUCGGCGCUGGUGGUUUUUACCGACUGUCCCAUACCGUCCCG
rnacentral:sRNA from 1 species